UGAACUCCAGGGAACAUCUGCAGACUCUGGCUGCUGAGACUAGAAGCCAUCCUGCGUCUAGUUCCAGGCCAAGAUCCUGACCAUCCCGUGGUUCCUGUUCUUGUAUAUCAACAAGGUGCAGUCCAGUGUGACCUCACACCCAGAAGCGCCAGGUGGGAAGGAAGCACUCG